rnacentral:rRNA from 1 species
UCAGAUUGAACGCUGGCGGCAUGCCUUACACAUGCAAGUCGAACGGCAGCACGGGUGCUUGCACCUGGUGGCGAGUGGCGAACGGGUGAGUAAUACAUCGGAACAUGUCCUGUAGUGGGGGAUAGCCCGGCGAAAGCCGGAUUAAUACCGCAUACGAUCUAUGGAUGAAAGCGGGGGACCUUCGGGCCUCGCGCUAUAGGGUUGGCCGAUGGCUGAUUAGCUAGUUGGUGGGGUAAAGGCCUACCAAGGCGACGAUCAGUAGCUGGUCUGAGAGGACGACCAGCCACACUGGGACUGAGACACGGCCCAGACUCCUACGGGAGGCAGCAGUGGGGAAUUUUGGACAAUGGGCGAAAGCCUGAUCCAGCAAUGCCGCGUGUGUGAAGAAGGCCUUCGGGUUGUAAAGCACUUUUGUCCGGAAAGAAAUCCUUGGCUCUAAUACAGUCGGGGGAUGACGGUACCGGAAGAAUAAGCACCGGCUAACUACGUGCCAGCAGCCGCGGUAAUACGUAGGGUGCAAGCGUUAAUCGGAAUUACUGGGCGUAAAGCGUGCGCAGGCGGUUUGCUAAGACCGAUGUGAAAUCCCCGGGCUCAACCUGGGAACUGCAUUGGUGACUGGCAGGCUAGAGUAUGGCAGAGGGGGGUAGAAUUCCACGUGUAGCAGUGAAAUGCGUAGAGAUGUGGAGGAAUACCGAUGGCGAAGGCAGCCCCCUGGGCCAAUACUGACGCUCAUGCA